GAGUUUGAUCAUGGCUCAGAGUGAACGCUGGCGGCGUGCCUAAUACAUGCAAGUCGAACGGAGUAUUAAGAGGGCUUGCUCUUUUAAUACUUAGUGGCGCACGGGUGAGUAAUAUAUAGCUAACCUGCCCCUUAGAAGAGAAUAACAGCUAGAAAUGGUUGCUAAUACUCUAUACUCCAGCUUAACAUAAGUUAAGUUGGGAAAUGUCUUUUCGCUAAGGGAUGGGGCUAUAUUGUAUCAGUUUGUUGGUGGGGUAAUGGCCUACCAAGACUAUGACGCAUAACUGGUCUGAGAGGAUGAUCAGUCACACUGGAACUGAGACACGGUCCAGACUCCUACGGGAGGCAGCAGUAAGGAAUAUUGCGCAAUGGGCGAAAGCCUGACGCAGCAACGCCGCGUGGAGGAUGACACUUUUCGGAGCGUAAACUCCUUUUAUCAGGAAAGAAUAAUGACGGUACCUGAUGAAUAAGCACCGGCUAACUCCGUGCCAGCAGCCGCGGUAA
rnacentral:rRNA from 1 species